rnacentral:rRNA from 1 species
UACGAAGGGGGCUAGCGUUGCUCGGAAUCACUGGGCGUAAAGCGCACGUAGGCGGAUUCUUAAGUCAGGGGUGAAAUCCUGGAGCUCAACUCCAGAACUGCCUUUGAUACUGGCAAUCUCGAGUUCGGGAGAGGUGAGUGGAACUGCGAGUGUAGAGGUGAAAUUCGUAGAUAUUCGCAAGAACACCAGUGGCGAAGGCGGCUCACUGGCCCGAUACUGACGCUGAGGUGCGAAAGCGUGGGGAGCAAACAGG